GACGAACGCUGGCGGCGUGCUUAACACAUGCGAGUCGAACGGAAAGGCCCUGCUUUGUGGGGUUCUCGGGGGGCGAACGGGUGAAGAACACGUGAGUUACCUGCCCUUGACCUUGGGAUUACUUCAAGAAACUGGGGCUAAUACCGGAUAGGAACUCCUGCCGCCUGGGGGGGGGUGGGAAGUUUCGGCGGUUGGGGAUGGACUCGCGGCUUAUCAGCUUGUUGGUGGGGUAGUGGCUUACCAAGGCUUUGACGGGUAGCCGGCCUGAGAGGGUGACCGGCCACAUUGGGACUGAGAUACGGCCCAGACUCCUACGGGAGGCAGCAGUGGGGAAUAUUGCACAAUGGGCGGAAGCCUGAUGCAGCAACGCCGCGUGCGGGAUGACGGCCUUCGGGUUGUAAACCGCUUUCGCCUGUGACGAAGCGUGAGUGACGGUAAUGGGUAAAGAAGCACCGGCUAACUACGUG
rnacentral:rRNA from 1 species